CUGGCGGCAGGCUUAACACAUGCAAGUCGAGCGCCGUAGCAAUACGGAGCGGCAGACGGGUGAGUAACGCGUGGGAACAUGCCCUUUGGUUUGGAAUAACUCAGAGAAACUUGAGCUAAUACCGGAUAAGCCCCGCAAGGGGGAAAGAUUUAUCGCCGAAGGAUUGGCCCGCGUCCGAUUAGCUAGUUGGUGUGGUAAUGGCGCACCAAGGCGACGAUCGGUAGCUGGUCUGAGAGGAUGAUCAGCCACACUGGGACUGAGACACGGCCCAGACUCCUACGGGAGGCAGCAGUGGGGAAUAUUGGACAAUGGGCGCAAGCCUGAUCCAGCCAUGCCGCGUGAGUGAUGAAGGCCCUAGGGUUGUAAAGCUCUUUCGGCGGGGACGAUAAUGACGGUACCCGCAGAAGAAGCCCCGGCUAACUUCGUGCCAGCAGCCGCGGUAAUACGAAGGGGGCUAGCGUUGCUCGGAAUCACUGGGCGUAAAGCGCACGUAGGCGGAUCUUUAAGUCAGGGGUGAAAUCCCAAGGCUCAACCUUGGAACUGCCUUUGAUACUGGGGAUCUCGAGUCCGGAAGAGGUUGGUGGAACUGCGAGUGUAGAGGUGAAAUUCGUAGAUAUUCGCAAGAACACCAGUGGCGAAGGCGGCCAACUGGUCCGGUACUGACGCUGAGGUGCGAAA
rnacentral:rRNA from 1 species